AGAAUCAACGCUGGCGGCGUGCCUAACACAUGCAAGUCGCACGAGAAAGGGUAGCAAUACCUGAGUAAAGUGGCGCACGGGUGAGUAACACGUGACUAACCUACCCUUGAGUGGGGGAUAACCUAGAGAAAUCUGGGCUAAUACCGCAUAAUACCUUCGGGUCAAAGGAGCAAUUCGCUUAAGGAGGGGUUGCGGCCGAUUAGUUAGUUGGCGGGGUAAUGGCCCACCAAGACUGUGAUCGGUA
rnacentral:rRNA from 1 species